UACGUAGGGACCGAGCGUUGUCCGGAAUCAUUGGGCGUAAAGAGCGUGUAGGCGGCCACUUAAGUCCUGCGUGAAAUCUUGCGGCUCAACCGCAAGCGGUCGUGGGAAACUGGGUGGCUAGAGUGCGGGAGAGGAGAGUGGAAUUCCUGGUGUAGCGGUGAAAUUCGUAGAUAUUCGGAAGAACACCAGUGGCGAAGGCGACUUACUGGACACAUAUUGACGCUGAGGUGCGAAAGCGUGGGGAGCAAACAGG
rnacentral:rRNA from 1 species